CCGAUCUCACAACUCAGCUGUUCGUGGGUGCUGCGCCAUGCCCCACUCAAAACACAGCCGGUGGGGGGCGACGGAGCAAAACGGUACUGGAGCCGUGCUGCAAUGGACAAUUAUUCAGUGGAAUCCUAGAGGCCGAGAUGUGGAGGGGGACCAAUCCAAGCACUUCAUUGAUAUAAAUCCUGAGAGAGGGACAAAGGCCAAAAAGGGCAAGGUUGUCUCCAAGAAGAAAGGUGUGAUGGUCCAGAAUAAGUCUUCUGCAAUCAAUACACACGUCGCCAUGCUACUGAAGAAUCUCCUUGACUUUGAAUGGAACUUCAUCUAGAUCGUGGCAACACUGGAAUAAUGCUGCAGAGAGGAACAGCAGCUCCUAAAGUGAUGGUCAUACCUCCUGGAUCCACAAGAGCUAAGACGUAAAAACACAAGCCUACCACACAGGACAGUUUUAAAAGGUAACCUGCAAGUCUAGCUUGCAGUGGCACAGGUGCCUACCUUACAGUUUCAUCCCUAAAUGAUGCAGAUUAUUGAUGCAUAUUGUCAAAAUGUUCUACUGUACUAUAAUGAUGAGCAAUUUAAGAAUUUAAUUUUAUUUCUAUAGUCUAAAGCAGACACUGCUAGGCUGUUUCUGUUUGCUACUAGAAAUCUCUUCUCAGCAUCGUCCA